UUCUCUUGUUUACUCUUGCAGUCUUGCCUCGACUUCUUCACCUUCUUGCCCUUCUCUCUCUCAUUCCGAGCUUCCAUACCAUCCCUAUACCUUCCUCUCUUAUACACGCACCAAUUUUACCAAAUACCCCACGAUAAAUUUUUUUCCACCCAAACCUUUGUUUCCCUGAAAUAAGGGUCGCUUCUAUAUCCAAUCUAACUAAUACCCACAACAAAAUCAUCUUCUCCGCACCUUAGGUUUUUCUCUGUAGGGUUGCCGCGGUUGCAUCCUUUAUCCUUCUUAUCACUGAUAACUACUGCUAGAUUUUCUCUGUAGGGUCUUCUUAUCUAACUCGCUUUUAGUCUAUUUAUCGACAUACGCAUCAGAAUUGUAUAUUAUGAAAACUCCGUUUAAAAAUUAAAUUGAAACAGGUAAUAGGAAAAAAAAAAAAAUCUUUGGAACCCUCAAUCGAAUUCCCCCAAAGUUAUGGUGUCUUCGAUCAUAUGCCACGUGGAACCCAGUGAAGCGGAGACGAAUCAUACCCCAUUCUACUCUCGAAAGAGAUUAAAGCCUUCGGAUUCACAGGGUUCUAUUGGGGAUGAAAAUCCUGCUGAUGUAGUGUCUACAAUGGAGUUCACUAUUGGUUGCUUGAAAAAUCUCGGUUCACCAUUAUGUGUGGAAAUGAGUUGCCAGUCUAAUGGGGAGAUUGAGAAUGUUUCAUCGCCUCGUGAUGUCGGUGGCAGUUCAGUAGGUGACAAGAUCAGUGUAGUGUACCCUCAACCUCCACUUGCAACCGGAUGGAUGUAUGUCAAUCAACAGGGUCAAAUGUGUGGUCCUUACAUCAAAGAACAAUUAUAUGAGGGUCUAUCUACUGGUUUCUUGCCUGAAGAACUUCUGGUUUAUCCCAUCUUAAAUGGGACUAUGUCAAAUGCAGUGCCCUUAAAGUAUUUCAAUCAAUUUCCUGACCAUGUUGCAACUGGCUUUGCUUAUUUAACGGCUUCGUCCGGACCGAUGAAUAAAUUCUCCGGAGUUGCCAAAGACUUAGGAGGAAAUGGAGUGGAGUUGACAACAACUUCCCCUUACUCUGACUCAGAGGCUAAACAUGGAACUCAUUCCUUGAACCAGCAUGUCUCGACCACUGGCUUUGCGGGAACAGUUGCUCCCUCUAUGUUUAUGGACUACGAAGAAUCGUGCUGGCUGUUUGAGUAUCAUGAUGGGAGGAAACAUGGGCCGCACUCUCUUAUAGAGCUUUAUUCAUGGUAUCAUUAUGGUUACAUUCUGGAUUCAGUGAUGAUACAUCAUGCUGAUAAUAAGUUCAGACCCUUUACUCUGAACUCUUUAAUAAGCAGUUGGACUACGGCUACCCCUGGAGCUCUUAUGUCUAAUUCCAAUGGGCAUGAGACUGCCUUUCUACCAGAUUUUGUAUCUGAGAUUUCUCAUGAAGUAUGCUCACAGCUUCAUAUGGUGAUCAUGAAAGCAGCUCGUAGGACUCUGCUCGAUGAGAUUGUUAGUCAUGCAAUUUCAGAGUGCAUCUCUAAAAAGAAAGAUCACAAGAAAGUCACUAAUCAGUCUGUCAAAAUGUCCUCCCCUAGUACCAGAAUGUCUGCAGGUUUUAGUGGCAGUAAGGCCUUAGUUGCUCCUGAGAGCAGUACAAAAGCUCCUAAUCUUCUUGACCAGAAAUCUCCUGUUGAAAUUUCUUUGCAGUCUUCAGGAAGUUCAAAAUCUGUCGGAAGCUUUGAGAACUUUUGUGAAUCUUAUACAGUUGUCUGCAGAACGUUAUUCGACUCUUCCAUGCAAAGCAUCUGGAAUGCUGUCUUCUAUGACCAUGUCUCAGAGUUUGCAUCUGCGUGGAGGAAGAAAAAGCGAUGGUCACCUCCUUGUCCUAUGGUUGAAUCAAACAUUCUAGCAAAGUCGUACACCAACUGCACCACAAAGCUCUCUACUGAAGUUUUGCAAGUGGACGAAGAAUAUUUUGGCUGUGAUCUUGAUUUACCUCCAGGGUUUGAGGAGAAGAUUGUGACAGUGGAUUUGCCUUCAGUUUUUUCAUCAAAAGAUUGCACCGCAAAGCUCUCCACUGAAGUCUUGCAAGUGGAUCAAGAAUCUUUCGGCUGUGAUCUUGAUCUCCCCCCAGGGUUUGAGACAAAGAAUGUGACAGUGAAUUUGCCUUCAGUUUCGUCAUCAAAAGAUUGCACCGCAAAGCUCUCCACUGAAGUCUUGCAAGUGGAUCAAGAAUCUUUCGGCUGUGAUCUUGAUCUCCCCCCAGGGUUUGAGACAAAGAAUGUGACAGUGAAUUUGCCUUCAGUUUCGUCAUCAAAAGAUUGCACCGCAAAGCUCUCCACUGAAGUCUUGCAAGUGGAUCAAGAAUCUUUCGGCUGUGAUCUUGAUCUCCCCCCAGGGUUUGAGACAAAGAAUGUGACAGUGAAUUUGCCUUCAGUUUCGUCAUCAAAAGAUUGCACCGCAAAGCUUUCUACUGAAGGCUUGCAAGUGGAGCAAGAAUCUUUCGACUGUGAUCUUGAUUCCCCCCCAGGGUUUGAGACAGAGAAAGUGACAGUGGAGUUGCCUUCAGUUUCUUCAUCUUUUAAUGAUGAAAAGGGGUUGUCUAAAUUCAGUCAUGCAAUGGACUCUGAAGCUAAUGACCGUAUGCAACUUAUCCUUGAUUGUGUAUUGGAAGAACUCCACCUGUCUGCUAAGAUGUCAUUGGAAGAAUACUUUACCAGCCUUUUGCAUGAAGAGGUGACGGGAAAAGUUCAUUCUCUUGAAGAUGGCAUGAUAACCAAGGUUGCUGAGGACUCGAAUAUUUGUCUUGGUGUUGCAAGUGAAAAUGAUUCUUCUGAUGCCAUUUCGGUUUCAGAAAACUUAUCAUGUAUAGAUAUUCAGAACACUUCACCGCUCGAAAAAUCAUUGCACCAGAACUCUAUUGAUACAUACAUGAUUCCUUCAUCUUAUUGUCUUUCAAGUGCAUUUCAGAAGUCUGCUUGUUUAGACAAUGCCACCAUAGAUGAAAUGACUGACGAGCUGCAACCACCUCAAUGUGAAGCUGUUCCUGUGCAAACUUCUAAAGUUCGGCUUGCUAGGUCUGAUGAUCAUAUUCUGAGGAUAGUAUGGUAUGCUAUCCUGUCAAAUUGCCGGCAGAAGGUACACGAGAAAGCACUGGGAGAGUUGAAAUUUUUUCUUCUUGAUGACUUAAUUAGAAAAUUUUUGACGACUUGGUGUUCUGCGAAGAGACGUGGUAAACCAGAGGAUUCUGAGGUUACAAGAAGCAAAGCGUAUAACGAGAAACGUGAUAACUCUCCAGUUGCAUUGAGCAAAAGCGUGGAUGGUUUUCCUAAGGUACCUACAGUAGCAGGGAAAUACACAUACUACCGGAAGAAAAAGAUGGUCAAAAGAAUGUCAGGUUCUUCACUGCAGCCUCUUCCUGAUAGAGACGUUGGCUUUCAAAAGAGAUCUUCUAACAAGUCAAGGAAACAAGAUCUCUUGGGGGAGGCAACAGAGAGCGCUAAAGGUGUCAAUGCAGCUUCAAGUGUUAAGGAAAUUGGGCUGAAAGAAUGUCGCAGAGAGUUGUUCACUUCAGUUGCUCCUCCAUCAUCGGUUAUUAAUUGCAAUACAAUCUCAGAGAAGGUUGCCUCUGUUUCCAGAGCGGGGAGAAGUAAUGCAACCCGCAAGAAACUGAAAGCUACUUUUGUUGCUGAGGAUUCCGGUGAUAUUGGGAAGGUUGAUGGAGACGUUGGCUUCAAAAAGAGAUCUAACAAGUCAAGGAAACAAGAUCUCUUGGGGGAGGCAACAGAGAGUACUAAAGGUGACAAUGCAGCUUCAAGUGUUAAGGAAAUUCGGCUGAAAGAAUGUCGCGGAGAGUUGUUCACUGAUGCUUCUUUAGUUGUUCCUCCAUCACCGGUUAUUAAUUGUAACACUAUCUCAGAGAAGGUUGCAUCUGUCUCCCGAGCGGGGAGAAGUAAUGCAACCCGCAAGAAACUGAAGUCUACUUUUGUUGCUGAGGAUUCUGGUGGUAUUGGGAAAGUUGAUGGAGAUGUUGGAUUCAAAAAGAGAUCUUCUAACAAGUCAAGGAAACAAGAUCUCUUGGAGGAGGCAACUGAGAGCACUAAAGGUGACAAUGCAACUUCAAGUGUGAAGAAAAUUGAGCUGAAAGAUUGUCACAGAGAGUUGUUCACUAAUGCUUCUUUAGUUGUUCCUCCAUCAGUGGUUAUUAAUUCUAACACUAUCCCAGAGAAAGUUGCAUCUUUCUCCAAAGUGGGGAGAAGUAAUGCAAGCUGCAAAAAACUAAAGGUUGCUUUUGACUCUGAAGGCUCCAGUGACAAUGGAAGGGUAGCUGAGGUUGUGAACAGAGAAUUGGGCACACUUGAAAUGCAACCUACUGCUUCUCUGAAAAAGACUCCUCAAUUGGCCAAAUUACCAAAGUUGAAUAAGAGAAAACUCGAGUAUAAUAUGUCAGCAUCUCGUUCAAGAAAAAUUCAGAGAGUAUCAAGUGGUGCUGGCAGCCAACCAGCAACUAAGGAGGUUAUUGUAGAGAAGAAACAGAAGGGUAAAUCCCGGACAGCAAAACAUUGUCCACAAUCAGAUGGCUGUGCUCGAUCUUCCAUCAUUGGUUGGGAAUGGCAUAAAUGGUCGUUGAAGGCAACUCCUGCUGAAAGGGCUCGUGUUAGGGGAAUUACUAUUGAUCAUAUUCAAUCUGUCAGUUCAGAUGCUAAUGGUUCUCAAGUGUUGAAUGCUAAGGGAAUUUCUGCAAGAACAAAUAGGGUUAAGUUGCGCAACCUCCUUGCUGCUGCCGAUGGUGCAGAUCUCUUGAAAGCUACUCAGUUGAAGGCGAGGAAGAAGCGCCUACGCUUCCAACGAAGUAAGAUACAUGACUGGGGUCUUCUUGCCCUUGAGCCGAUUGAGGCUGAAGACUUUGUCAUUGAAUAUGUUGGGGAGCUUAUACGUCGGCGUGUAUCCGACAUACGAGAGCACUAUUAUGAGAAGAUUGGAAUUGGGAGCAGUUACCUUUUCAGACUGGACGAUGAUUAUGUGGUUGAUGCAACAAAACGUGGUGGUAUAGCCAGAUUCAUAAACCAUUCUUGUGAGCCGAAUUGCUAUACAAAAGUUAUAAGUGUUGAGGGUCAGAAAAAGAUCUUCAUAUAUGCUAAGCGGCAUAUUGCAGCUGGUGAAGAGAUUACUUACAAUUACAAAUUUCCUUUGGAGGAAAAGAAGAUCCCCUGCAACUGUGGUUCCAAGAGGUGUCGUGGCUCAAUGAAUUGAAAUGGAAAGGAGAUGACAGAUCUGAUGUGUUCUGCUGCUGUAUUUAGGGUCCUUUCUUGACUGAUGGUUUCCAAGAACACUCGCUCUGCAGUUUUGCAGACAGAUAUUGUCAUCAUGUACAUAUAGGUUUGCCCUUGCAACUCUUAGUCGGGCGUUACAAGAUGCAUACUCGUACUUCGGGGUUUACACAUUCUUGUAAAAGGACGAUGAGUGUGUGCCCCUUGCAUAUAUUCUUGUAGAUAUCACAGUUGCAGAUGAGUUCCUCUCUUAAGAAUUCAAAAUCGGUUGUGCUUUAUUAUGCAAUUUCAAGGCAUUUUUUUGGAAUUAUAUAUCGUGUACAGACAUACAUUAUAAGUAUAAUAAUAUAUCAUAUUCAGCUACACAGAAUUCAGAGUACUUUUUUGUUUCUUUGGUUGUUAUGUUGAGAUAUCUUGUCAAUUAAGUUGUGUGAGAGUGCAGUAAGUACGCUUUUAACAGUUAUUGAUGGCUCUACUUAUUUUCAAGCUUACAUCAAAGAGUCAAUAUGCUGUGUUUUUUGUGAAUCUAAGUCUCCAUAAUUUUUCGAGAGAUACUAAUGCUAUAAUGUGCUGUCUAACAUAAUAAGAGAGAUGUUCAAAAUUCUAGUAUGCCUUUUGUAUGUUAUGAAAGAUGAUACAGUUGUCUAAUCAGCUUAAUGUUUUUGAGCUUGAAACUUAGCAAUCAUGCGCAAAUUCAAGUUGCUAAUUCUAAAUAGCAUCCCUAACUUUUUCUUAAGAGUUGAAACCAUUUUCUAGUCUUGGGCUAACAAUUCCUUAUACUGCUACGGCAAAGGUCCUAGUGUGGUUAUUUGUCAAGUUACUUGCAAUUUAACAAAGAAAACAUUUUUUAAAGGAUCACUGCAGUGAACGCAGAUGUUGUAAAGGAUCUUUGUUUUAUUGUUCUUAUUGCCUUAGACAUGACGUGAUACCAAUCCUAAUUAUUAAUGACGCAGGAACAAUCAGGUAUUGCAUGCCCAUUCAUUCAAUAUUGCUAGGUGAUGAUGAUGUGGGUUGACAUCUAUCUGGUACGUGUCUUCUAUUCUCUAUUUGGUUUUCUGCCUUCCACCCAAGCUGCAAUCUAGUUCGCAUAAAUGAAUGCAUCAAAGCAAUGGAGGUUUCCUGCAAUUUGCUUCCAUCCUCGGGUCUUGAUCUAGGCACAUGUCACGGGUUCAAACCUUGCUACAGACAAGCAUGAUAUAUAGGUGAAGGGUAAAAUAACUUAUUCCUUAUCUAUUAAGUGUCAACACUAGCCUUCAGUGAUUUCUCGUCUAUCCAAAAAAAAUAAAAAAAAUUCCUUAAUCAAACGCUGCCAACUCUUCAAAAUUUCAGAUCCAACCUCUUCUUCUUUAUAGAUCGGCAUCUUCAAAUCGAUAAAACCCAAAAGGUCAAUCGGCCUUCAAUGGCGUUUUCAGACCAUCGACGGUGUUUAAAAUCACAUUUUAGAUUUAAAACUACAACAUCCAUACUAAUAUAUAGUAUAUUUCUGUAUAUAAUAUCUCAAGCCCAAUCCAUCACCUUAGCAUCCAUUUGCUACAGUCACAUCCUCCUAUUAAAAAUACAAAUUUUCACCAUUAAAAGACCAUAAAGAUCAAAACUUAUCUUAUAUUUUUGGGAAAAACAAAAGAUUUUAACUUUAUUGAAAAUAAAAAAGCAGAACAUAUAACAAAAGUUCAAUUUUGGACUUACCAACUGUGAGAAAACAAGCUCCAAAAUCAUGAGAAGGAACACAACAAAGACAUGGUCAGAACCUAAGUUUCAAUUCCAAAUAGUUAUUAUCGGAAAAAAAUUGGGCAGCUGCCAUGUCGGGUUCCUUACAACACCAAAUUAUUAUAUUGUUUCUAUGCGACCAAGGUUAUGAAAAGGGGAAUUAUGGUACAAGCUAUUAUUGUUUUCUAUUAAUUUCUAUUUUUUUGUUUCUUUAGUUAAGCACUUGCGGCCUUAAGAGUAAAUUGAUUCUUUGUUUGGUGUUUCUAAAUGAUCAUAGAGUGCGGGGAGCAGUGGUUUUUGGAUGGGGAUAAUGGCUAUUGGUAAAGUUGGAAGGCGAGGGAGAAGAUGAUGAUAAUAUUUUAAUAAGAAAAGGGGUGGGUUAAUUAAUGACUUGGCAGCUGACAUGGCAGGUGACAUGGAUAAAAUUGAUGUGGUCAGCUGCCAGUGUCAAAACGUUAGGGUUAGGGGUAUUUUUUCAAACUUCAUUAACGGCCGGGACGAGAAUGGCCGAAAAGUGUAACGGGUGGCACAAGUAACCAAUAAACAAUAGUAGAAGGGCAAUUUUGAUCCUUUUCCCUAUAAUAUAUAUCAGUCUAAGGUGGAGCUCGUGAUCUUUGGGUGGGGGGUGGGGUGUUCUAAUAAUAGGUGAGUGGUGCUUAGCGCAGACGUGGUCGAGAAUUGGAAGCCCUUUUGGUUUCGCACCUAUACUUUACAUGUACUCUUCAUUUUGAUAUCGCCCAAGUUACUCGCAUUGGACCUGUAUAAACACGGCAUGAAUAUCUGAGUUUUGAAGUCCAAGUCAGGGAUUGGUUGAGAGGGUCAUAGUCCUACGUACGUUAGCUAAUGGACAUAUGACUUCUAUCCAUCCAUUUUGAAGUUUUUGAGUAAGUGUAUCUUUCAAAAUACGCUUAAAACCAGCAAGAUCGAAAACACCUUUUUCGGUUUCAUGCCAACAUCCAAUACAUUUAUCAGGCUCCAAGUUUAAGCUGGCGCGCUUUUGAUUUGUUAAAAUUCAGAUUGAUGUGUUAUCAGGAAUUGGUGGGAGACCAAUCUAUUGCUAAUUUAGUUGAUGCAAUCACUGAAAAAUACUUUUAAAGUAUAUUUUCGUCAUUCAAAUGAUUAUUUGUACCCAUAUAGACACGGUAGUAUGCAGGAAUUUUUGGGUAACAUCAAUCAGUUUUCUAAUUAGUUUAGAGCCUAAGUGUAGCCAACCGAUCGUUUGAUGUUAGUCCGUUUAACUCAAAUUUGAUGGCUAUUUUGGUUUU